AGUCACAGGACCUCUGGGUCGGCAGGACACGACUAGUUACCCAUUCACCUUCGACCUGAACCUUACACUAAGUCAUGUGACCUGACAGAUGUUAGAUUUCCUACUGUAAACAGUUAAACCCUUUAAUUAAACUAGUCUGAACUAGUAUUAGGUGAACUGGGUAUGAGGCGUAACUCCAUCGGACCUGGAGGGUGUAACGUUAUGCAGUAGCUGUUUGUGUAGUGACAGCUCAGACUGUUUAACCAGUUUGUGUUGAUAAACUAUAUGACUGGUCUCAGACAUGAAGCUUCUACUGCUGGAUUUAUUCACAGAAAACAGAAGCCGCUGCCUGAAGGAAACUCAACUCAACACUACACGACUAAUACAGCCUCACCAGGUGUUUAACUCUGAAUCUCAACAUGAAGUAAAAUGUCAAGCUCUCUAGUGAUUGUGUCAGAUCAAUCACUCUGAUCAGUUUCUAGCCCAACCUCGUUCCUGUUCUCAACACUGACUCAAACUAAAGUCAACCUUAGAGAUUCAACUUUCUUGGCUGAUCAGAUUUUCUUUCUAAAAACUUAAGACACAGACAUUUUAACUUUUAAUUCAAAAUCAAAUUGCAAUAAAAACAUAGUAUUAAAGUUUGAAAUUUCUCAUCUGCCCUUCGCGCAUCUUUUUAACAAACCAAUUAAAAAUGAAGUGCAGUAUUUACUUUAUAACAUGUGCAACAGGUAAACAGAAGAACGUCUGUUACUACCGAGCACACAGUUCUUUUUGAAGCGUGUGCAGUUUGUAUUUGCUGUGUUUUACCACGGGCUGAUACACCAGAGUCAGGUGCCCACAAAAAAAUGACAGGAAUGAGUAAAUGUGUAACGGCUUUAAAACAAACAAACAAAC